UACGAAGGGGGCGAGCGUUGUUCGGAAUUACUGGGCGUAAAGGGCGCGUAGGCGGCCGAUCAAGUCAGAUGUGAAAAUCCUGGGCUUAACCUGGGGACUGCAUUUGAUACUGAUUGGCUUGAAUGCAGGAGAGGAUAGCGGAAUUCCCAGUGUAGAGGUGAAAUUCGUAGAUAUUGGGAAGAACACCGGUGGCGAAGGCGGCUAUCUGGACUGUGAUUGACGCUGAGGCGCGAAAGCGUGGGGAGCAAACAGG
rnacentral:rRNA from 1 species